GUCUGGGCAGAGCAGGGGGGCCUCUGAGGAAGGCAGGGAGAGGGCAGGAGGACCUAGGUGGACUCUGAGGGCUCUUUCUCCAGAGCCCCCGCUGGAAUGCGGGUAGGGGGCAGCUCCUCUCUCCUUUGAGGCAUUUGUUCCGUAAAAACCAGCGUCUUCUUCUUACUCCUGAGAUUUCGUUUAGACCGGGUGCCUAAGCUCAUGUAAAUGACUUUUCUUCCCCGACUCCCUCACCUCCUGCACUUUAUUUUCGCUUGUUUAUUUGAAAAACCUUUAAUUAGGAGAAAUUUCAAACAUCACAAAAGGAGAGAAAAUAGUACAUCAUUUCCUCACGGUGUGCACAGUUUUCACAUCCCCGUCACGCAGACACAACCCCACCAGCACCAGCGCCCCUGGUCCCAGUUAACCCUCCAAUCCUUCCCCCUCCACCCUGGACUGUUUUGAAGAAAAUAAAGGACACAGUGAUUUCCUGUGAGCAUUUUCAGUAUGUAUCUUUACAAAGGACUCUUCUGUUUUAAAUACAUAACCACAAUGUCAUUAUCACAGUUAAAAAAUUAACAGCAUUUCCUUAAUGCAUCCAGUAUCUAUUCAGUUUUCAAAUAUCCCUGAUUGACUCAUAAAUUUCUUUUACAGUUGGCUUAUUCAAAUCAGGGUCCUAAUUCUUUCGUGUACUUUCCAGGGGCGCCGGGGUGACAGAAGGUAAGUGCUGCUACACAUUUAGCAGCUGGAAAACUACCCCCGCAUUCAGGGAGCAGCCCAACCUCAGUAAAUCUCAAAUCUCUCGCUGAAAACGGGGCCAAUUCUGGGGCUUUACCAGGGUGACUGAGAGGCUGAGGGAUCGUGCACAUGAACCCCCAGCCCUGUCUGAUACAUAACAGACACUCAGCAAACAGUAGCUGCUGGGAUUAUUCUUUUUCCCGGAAACCUCUGAAGGGGAGCAGAGCUGGGGAAGGCGAAACAGAGCUGGCUUUCGUCCACAAAACAAAAGGUUCCUGGCAGUCCCGACCCCUGUGUGGUGAGGACAGCGCAGUACGUGCGCCACAUCCCAACUAAAGCAGCCCGCAGUCGGGGGCUGGGACCUCCCGGCCGGCUGGCAACUCAGUCAGCAGCCCCUCAGCACACAAGCCUACCCUGUGGCCACCCCGGACAGCCUGACCGGGGACCCCACAGGUGGCCAGUCCACUAGAUGUCACUCUCUGCUGUGAGUCCAGGAAGGACCACUACCCCAAUUGCUCUGGCCACCGCCCAGCCCCGGGUACCGCAGGGGGAUGCCACCCCUCAAACGUUGCAGACAAUUUCUAAAAAGCAUUUCUCAACAUGUCAUGCGAGAUGCAGUGGUUUUCUCACUGCAUCAGCCCCAGCCCGACCGCAGAAGCAGAGGGAAUGAACAGUUAAUGACCAUUAGCUCAGGCCAGGCACCGAUAUGCCUAUUCUCUCUUUAAAUCCUCACCCCGGCUUGGUCUCCUUUCCCUUUAUUUUACAGAUGAGAGGACUGGAGAGGUUAGUGACCUGUCCAAGAUUGCCUAGGAAGCAGGACCUGGGACUCCGACCCAGGACGGUGCCGAGGCCCAGAGGAGAUAAUGGAUGCUGAGGCAGGAGGCGGGCGCCGUGCUGGGGACAGGAGGUGCAGCAUCCUGACCCUCUGCUCCUUGGAGGGAACUUGUGCUUCGACUUCAUGCUUUUCAUUUUCACACCAUCUGGAGGGAGGGACGACUGCUGGAGUAUUGCCACCUGAGGCCUCGCAAGUGUGACAAAGGCAGAGGCCGGGCCCGGGCCCCGGUUCCCAGCUGAGCGGCAUUUCCAAGCCACCGCCUGAGUGUGGCCGAGUGGAGCGCCUCCAAGCCGGCGUGCCGGGCACGUAGCAGGCUGUUCCUGGGGCAGGAGGGAGCUGGCUGUGUGCUGUCAGUGGACUCCAGGCUCCUUUGCUUUCUGGAAAAUAAUUUGAACAUCAAGAGUCUCAUGGCACAGACUCCCAAGGGCAACGCCGUGUCAUGAAAUGAAUUUCCUUUUCCAAGGCGCAGCCUCUGGCUGGAUUACUGUCUUCCAGACUGGAGGCCCCGAAGUGGGCCUAAUAACACCGUGGAUGCGGAUCUGGACUGUGGCCUCUGUGGGAAAUGAGCCGUGGACCGAAGCGAUAAUGAGUGCAUAGAGCUGACUGACCAGUCUAGUGAGGAAGGACUUCCCCCAUGGGUAAGGAGCGUGGAGAAUGACAAAGUCUGCAUUUUACUUCACCAAGUGAAUGUAUCACAGCUGAUUUAAUCAUUUUCUAAUGCAAAAGAUCAUGACUUUUGUACACUCUGGGUAAGGAGAGGAGAGAUUGAUAAUGACCACAGGACUGUGGGCUCAUUCAUUUUCUAAGAAAAAAAAAAUCGUGACAAUUAGCUCUGUGGUAAAGAACACAGAGACAAAUGUAAGUAAGACUCCAAGUUCCCAUCCUGGGUUGAGAGGUUUUGUUCUGGAGUUUUUAGUGGUGCUUGAAAAAAAUCAAUGUCUAUGUGAGAAAAAGAAUCCCCAAGUGUGGACCAGUGAUGGGAAUAUGUUCUAACUCAAAUUGAAAUUCAGUCUAAUUUGGCACAAAUGACAUUAUUCAAAAACAUGUAAUGGUCAUUUCAUUCAUUUUCAGAAACUGUUUAUGCCACUGCAAACAUCCCCAGUCCAGGCAGAUAACCUGGAAGACAAUGGGACACGCUGUGUCAGUAAAGGUGGUGGUGUCAUCACUUUCCAUUCAGUCACCCCUAAAUCAUGAGCAAAUUAAAUAAGAAAAGUCACAGAAGGACCUGUGGUGAAUGUGGAUUUGAUGGGAAACGUGGCUAUUUACCGAUCACACAUGUUCUCUGAGGUCCAUUUUCAAGGGAGAUCUAGCCUGUUUGCUCUAUGGGGAAGAGCCACUAGUAGCAAGAUCUUGUUCCUGGAAUCUCAUGAUCCUAUUGAUUCAUGGGUCGGGAAAUAGAUAAAUAAAUGAAGACGUGCUUGGACCAAUGAUGAGUACCAUGGGGUAUCUGAAACUGGAGUUUUGAUUAAACCCAUAUGCAACUCUGAGGUCCAUUUUAAAGAGACACGAGGUUAUUCCCUCUGUGGAAAUUGAGCCUGUGGUCAUUUGUGCUUUUGUGGUUUUUGAGCUGAUUUUAUUUUUAUUACUUAACCCACAAAUUUAAAAAUACAUCAAUGAAUGAAUGAAAGAGGAAGAGAAAUCAUGUACUCAUUUUUAAGAAAUAGAAUGAAGGGAUUAUUAAUAAAAUCUGAUGGAGAUUAAAAGUCCCAAUAAAUUCAUAGUCAAGGUUCUCACUACUCUGGAAGGGAGUGUAUGACCAUUUGUACGUAACGGCCUAGAGUUUCUGUGCUGUGUUGGUGGUAGCAGCUGACUGUUUUAUGAAGGAAAUGAAACACCUUUACUCAUAUAAAUAGUUCGUUCAAUAGCCAUAUUAUCCAGAGCUCCACAGAGACCGACGAUGAGAAUAUAUUUUGUUUGUUUUAUUAUGUUUAUUGAGGUAACACUGGUUUACAAUACUAUAUAUGUUUUAGGGGUACAAAUGUAUGUUAGCACACCACGCCUAAAGCAAAGCCCCCAUGAUCUCCCACCCCAGUCUAUUGGGCUCCCCACACUUUGCAUGCGUUCACCUGCCCUUCCUCCCCUUUGGCAAUUAGAUUUCAAGAGUUUGUCUUGGUUUGUUAUUGGCUGUUCCUUUGCUUUGUUGUUUUAUAUUUGACAUAGAAUGAAAAUCAUCUUGUUUGUCUUUCUCUUUCUGAAUUAUUUUUCUUAGUAGAAACCAUUCAGUUCCAUCCGUUUUGUUGCAAAUGGCAAGAUUUAAUCUUUUUCUUUUUUAUUACUGAGUAGUAUUCCACUGUGUGUAUGCACCACAUUUUCUUUAUCGUCUCAUUGUUUGGCAUUUAGAUUGCUUCCAUAGCUUGGCUGUUGUAAAUAGUGCUGCAGUGAACACAGAAGUGCAUGUGUCCCUUUGAAUUAGCAUUUUUGCAGUCUUCGGAUAAGUCUCUAGGACUGAAAUUGCUGGAUUAUAUGGCAGAUGUACUUUUGAGAUUUUUAAAAGAAACCUGAUGAAAAUGUUUAAAUCUAGUAUUUUUUUUUACUGAUGCUUAUUAAAACAAUAAAAAGCAAUCAAUCUGUUUACAAUAAUGACCGUGGACAGACAAAAAUUUUGCCCAGAGUUUUUGUUCAGUGUAUUCUAUAAUUUUUGUAUAAUUUCAGUAUAUACUGAAAUUUUUGUAUAAACAAAAAGAUAUAACUUUAUAUCUGAAUGUACUUUUUAAAAGUCAGCCAACCAUGGACCAAUUAGGAACAUAUAUUUCCAUGUAGGGAUACUGAUUCAUCUUGUUUUCCAACAACCGAUACUCUGUGAAAAAUUCUAGACUCUUCUGUUUUUUGAAAGGUGCACCUGGACAUUUCUAAGUAAAGUAAUUUGGUUCCAGGUUAGUGUUUAUCCAUUUUGAGGUUUCUUGGAAAAAUGAGGACAUGGUAUUAUUAUUCCCAGAAUAAUAAAAUAAAUCAGUGAGUGAAUCUCUAAAGUGCAUAUGGUGGGGAAUGGAUGAGAUUGUACCAUGAAACAAAUUUAGUAUGUCCAGUUUUGCACAAAUAGUCCAAUAAAGAAUGAUAGACUAUCAUCUUUCUCAUUAGCUCUCCCUCUGAAGCAGCAACUUGAGUCAGCUGUCUCUGUUACAGUUUUUAUUUCAUGUAGAGCAGUGACUUCAAUAGUAUUCAUGUUAUUUAGUAUAUUUUAAGUAAAGAAAAGAGUGUGAUUCUUGGGAAAAUGACCAGGAUAUAAUAUGAAUUAGGGCUUGUGACUCAUCCAGCCCUGGACAAAGGUCAGUGUUGAAAGGAAUUCUGUCUUCGGUGUUUUUAAACAUAAGCUUUCACCCCCUUUAUAGAAAGAGCAUCACACAGCUGAUUUAAUCAUUAGCUAAUUGUGAAGACCUUGGCUGUGACUUCUGGGAUGAAGGAGUCUCCAAACUGAUAGUGAACACGGGACAACUGAUCUAAUCAUUUAAUACAGAGUCGUUAUGAGCAAGAACAGAAAGAAUAAUAUAAACAUCACGGUGGACGGUCACUGUCCGAUUGGCUCUUGAAGACCGUAGCUGUUACUUCUGUCUAUAAGAAGCAAUAAUGAAGGACAUAAUCGAUUUAAUCAGUCUCUGCUGGUGAAGACCUUGGAGCUACCUUUGUAGGUCCUCGCUCGCCAGGCUACAUGUAGACACAUGUGGCUGGUGGCCAUGGUGCUGAGGCGGCCACUGCUGGUGGACAGCUCCCCACCGAGGGAGGAUGCAGCUGCAGUCGGGGUGUAUGAAGCGGGGUGUUGUCUGAUCCAUAGUCCACUGAGGGCCGCUGCCCAAAGAUCUGAUUGAUUGAGGAAAGGCCUAAUAUAUGGAGAAAGAGCCUUUCAGCACAUCUCGGUCAGAGCCAAUGAGCUCUUCGGAGUUUUUGGCUUUUGUAAUGGAUGCUAACUUGAGCCUUGUAAUGGGUCGAUGAGCGCAUCAAUGAACAGAAGUAGACGUGAAGAGAAAGAUGCUUCAUCUGGAUCGAUGAUGAGUACCCUGGGGUGUCUGAAAUCAAGGAUUUUGAUUAAACCCUGUAACUCUGAGGUCCAUUACACAAAAAUUCCUGUCUGUUCCCUCGAUGGAAAAUGAGCUUAUUGCAGGAGUUAGAAAUAUUCAGGAGUUUGUUCUUGGGCUUCUGAGUACUGUGUUAUUUUCAGUAAGUCAAAACAUGAAUAAAUAAAUAAAUGUAUAAAUGAGCGAAAACAAAAUAGGUCACUCCUGGUCCAAAAUAUGAGAGUAUGUAAUGUAAUAGAGGUAAUCUAAAAAUCAUUAUUAAUACAUUUCUGAAGCACUGAGGUCCAGUAAAAUAAACUGAUUAAAGGUGACCCUUUGGUUAAAAAGCAUUAAGAUAAAUGAAUAUAGGAGCCUGUGUCAUUUUCUGGGUUGGGUAGUAUGGGUAGUAGGUGUUUUGUUUUGUAAAGAAAAGGGCAAAACAUUUUCUCAAAUUAAAUUUUUGAUUAAAUAACUACAUAAUUGAGAGAGGGUUUAUAGAUGAGCCUCUGCUGAGAACAUGUCACGUGGGCCAGUUACGAUUAAUGUGAAGAUCUCCACUUUCAAAAAAUUUGUUAUUGAAGUAAAAUUGCAUUAUUCACUGUUUUCUAAUAAGAAAAUGAGAACAAAUUAUCUUUUCAUCUGUGCCUCAUUAGCAUCUGGACAUGCAUUACUAUUGUCCUGUUUCUGGGGAAUCAUGAAUACCCAAUAAUGAUAUUAUUGUAAAUGUGUAAAAGAGUAAGUUAAUAUGAAUCAAUGGUUUGAAAGAUGGCAAAACAUCAUCUGUCAUGAAACAUGCAGUGUGAUUAAUCCAGUUCAGCACAACUGUUCUCCAGAUAAAGCAAACAGACCUGGGUUCGUACAUUUUUGGAGUGGAGAAUAUAUUUAGAUAGGAUUUUUCUUUCUGACUUGGUGCUAUAUCUUUUAAAAAUGGAAGACAAAUGACUCUGUGUGUAACUGUGUGUGUGUGUGUGUGUGUGUGUAUAAAAGUAGGGCAUAUGUGGAUAAUUGGUGAAAAUGUGCUUAAAUCGAGGCUGCACAUUAACCUAAUUCUUUCCAAGCAAGAUGCAUUUAGAAAGAUCUAGACCUCACCUAGGCAGGGAGCAUGUAAACAAACAUGUGGAAUAGCCAUAGUUGUCACUCUUCGCCAGUGCUUAUUACAUCAGUUAAAUUUAACACUUCAAACAAUCAAUUAAUCGAGAUGCUGCUCAAAGUUUUAAUAUACAGCAGGCACCAAGGUUUUCCUAGUAAGUUUUUAUUGACUUGAGCAUGAUUUAAAAAAUCUGAAUCCACUGUUCUGAUCUGUUGUUUAUAUUUGCUUUGCACUCCCAGAACGGAUACACAUUGAUUCAAUUAAGGAGUGUAGAAACUUCUAGUGAACACGCCUAAGCUGAUUUCAGCGUCUUCCUGGUCAGGAGGUCUGUGGGGCUCUCAUUGUUAUGCAGUGGACACUGUAGCAGGCCUUCCCUAGCUGAUCUAAGCAUCUUCCUUGGUUCCAAGCUGUUUUGUAGAAUGGAGACCAAGAAUGGAAGCACUGGAGCUGACUUCAAGAUUGUUCUGCGGUCACAAGCUGUCUGGUCGACUCUGUCUUUGGCGCACAGAAGAAAAUAAUGGACACACUCAAGCUGACGUAAGCUCGUGCCGAGGUCCACUGUCUCUACAUUUGCCUGUAGUGCAUGGAAACCAACAAUGGGCGCCCCCGGCUAACUCCUGCAUCUCUUGUGUUCGUGUGGCCUGUGGUUCCUCUUGUGUAAUGAGCGUAGAAACUAAUAAUGGAUAGACCUGAAGUGACGCAAACAUUUGUGGGAGCUCCCUGGAUGCCCAGUGUCUGAAAGCUUGGAGACCACAAGAAAACACCUGCGCUGAUCCCCAUACCCUCCACAUCAGGCUCUCCAUGGGUGUCCCUGUGCUCGGAAGCAUUGUUCCCAGUAAUGGACUCAGUCAAGGUGACUCAAACAUCCUUCCUGCCUGCAGCCUGUGACUGGGUCCACGUGUUCGCAUCCUCGAGACCCAUGGCGUCCCACGGUUGUGGCUUGGUGGUUACCGCUGGCCGAGUGUGGAGAGCCGGGUGAGUACAGACCUAGUUGUUGUCUCAGCUUGGGGCUUUUAUCAAAGGGUGUUUGCUGCACUAUAAAAAAAGUGAAUUAUUUUCAGUGACCACGACCCAUGUGCUCCAAGUACAAUUAAGAUGAACUUUAAAAUAUGGUUAUAUGGAUAAUUGCUAAUCCAUAUUAUGAUUAUCCAUGUAAUUAUUAAUGAUGAAUCCAUAUAGGAAACACUGAGGCUGAUUAGUGAAUGAGACAGGGGCCCGAGUGGAGUAAUUCUACAGAUUCCAUAGCUGUUAGGUGAUAAGUUAAAAGGUAAGACCAGGCAAGUGUGUUGACUGAGCUACACACAUGACUCUGAGGCUGUUGACUGGAGCCAUCAAGAGUAUUCACUUGUGGAGAAUGACUCUGCACACAGCUGCUAGGGAGAGUAAAGUUAUUUAAAAAUUUCAUGGGAAUGUUAUUAUUAGUGACAUAAUGCAUUAAUCUAAACAAAAUUGGGGCCCAAUAGAACAUGGUGGAGGAUUGUGGGGGCCCUGCUGGUGGGCAGGCUUGAAAGUCUACAUUGCAGAGUUUGAACCCCAGGAGCAGAUACAAAGAUAUAAACCUACUUUACCUUAAUUGGCAAAAAAAAAAAAAUUGGGAGUUAUCAAAAGAAAAAAAGAGUUACUAUAGAUUAAAAAUCGGUAAAAAAUUUUAGGUAAAUUAAAUUAUAAUUAAAUGAAGAAAAGGAAGAUGAAAUCUGGAUCAAUAUUGGGGGCAGGUGACAUAUAACUCAAGUAUAAGUGAUACUAAUCUAGAAUUUCCAGCACAAAAAGAAAUGUAGUCUGUUGCUUUUGGUACAAAUGGCCAUGUAAAUGGGCUUUGCAAGGGUCUUAGCCUUGGGCUUUUGAGUCAUAGGUACUGAUUAACUAUAAGUUCAAUGAGAUAAUAACCAAUCACAUAUGUGAGAAGUAGGCUGAAAUGUGGAAUGGCUGUAGCAGAUUCAAUGAAACAAACAUCAUUACAACUAAUUUCUGAAGAACUGAAGUCUGUUAAGGCCCCAUAGCUUUCAUCCCUUAGCAUAAGGGCCAUGGAGAGAGCCAUGAAAUUGUCAACACUCAUGUUGUAUGACGGUAUUCUAUUCUUUUAAUCAAGAAAUGGCAAAACCAUUUUUAUAUAAUUUAAUCAACUAACUAUGCAAAGAGGCUGAGCAUGAGCCAGUAACACAAAUGCCUCGUAUGGCAGCUGAUGGCUUUGCCGCAUCCCCUGUGUGAUGAUCCCAGUGUGUGUGUGAGUCACUUCACCCCUGUGUGCGUCAGACACACGCAGUGCACUUCUCAGUUAUUCCUCAAUAAAGUUGCAAAAGAAAGUCGAUAGUCCCUUGACCAUUAGGACAGGAAACACCUGGGCACAGUUACUAUUCAUCACUGUGAUUGUCAAGCUUGUAAUCAAAUUUACUGAUUUCAUCACUGCAAGUUAACAAAUAAAUUAAUAACUUGAUGAAAGGGGACAGAGCACCUGGCUAGUGGUGCGGAUGUGCUGAAACAUGAUUUGUAAGUUCCACUCCUGUUCUGUGCGUCCUAAGAGAAAAAUCAGCCCUUACCAGUCUGAGCAGGGGACACUGGACAGAAUACAAAUAGCAUUUCCCUUCUGGUUUUCUGGGAAGUUGAGUAUUUUUUUAUUUCGUUUACAAUGAAUAAUUUGAUAUGAAUUAAAACUUAUGAUAUGAUAUGAAUUAAACUUAUGAUAUGAAUUAAACUUAUAUGAAUUAAAAAUGAAUAGAAAUCAAAGCUGUUGGUAAAUAAAUGUGUAUCUACAUAAUUCAAACACCAAUUACAGAUCGAUGAUAAAGAUGUUAUGCAGCAAGCUUUUGUAAUUAAGCUCAGUAUAAUUAAAAGGCUUGAAAUUUUUUCUUCCCUUUCAUAGCUGCUUUUUCCAUAUUAGGUUUGCACUCACUGUACAUAUUUUCCAGGGCCAGACUUACGCUGGUCAUUCAGUGGACACCCCCAAGGGAGAAGUCAGCUGUUUCCAGUGUCUGGAUGUGGGUGGAUGGUAGCUUUGCGCUUGUCGUUGCAAAGCUUUAAUGAAUGGACAUGCGACGCGAACGCACCGUGCUGGGGAGGGUGUGAGGGGCGGUGUCCUGCACUUGUAGGAUUAACUCAUUUCUGCAUUAGCAAGUGCGGGUCAAAAGGGGACUUGGUCUGUUAUGUCUAUGGGAAUGAAGCCUUAGUCAACUUCAGUGAUUUUUGAGAACUUAAUUAAUUAUAGGUUCCUGGGGCUUGCAUGGAAAGGGAAUGAGAAGGGAAUGAUAAAAGGGUGUGUGUGUGUGUGUGUGUGUGUGUGUGUGUGUGUGUGUGUGUGUGUAGAGAGACAGAGAGAGAGAGAGACAGAGAGAGUAAGGGGGAGGAAGGGAGGGAGGGAGAGAAAGAGACACAGAGAGAGGAGAGAAGGAGGAGACAGAGGGAAAGAGGGCUGGAUGAAUUAAGACAGGUCUGUUAGCAGGUUUCCUGUACAACUCUGAAGUGGGCAUUGUGCUACCAAUAGGUCAAAGGUACUGCCUGGGCCACACAGGGCAGUGGCUCUCGACUCGACCCAGCACCAGAGGCUCCUGGCAGGGUGUGCUCGCAGCACCCCUGGCCCAGCGAGGCAGCUGGGGGCCCAGGCGUCUGCACUGUGUGCCCAGCCCUGCUCCCGCGGCCGUGGGCGCCAUCUUGGAGAGUCCCUGACAGCCCGGGAGCGGCUCGGAGCGGCCCCGCCCUUGCCCUGGGCCAGUCGUGGUUUCCAGCCUGUUCGUUUUACUGAGAAAAACAGGGUAACAAAUAUAAUCAUCAAUAACUAUCAAAAAGCCUAGCUGAAAGUAUAGACCACGGGUCAGUGGAGAUCAAAUCUCCUGAUUUUAGCAUCUUCGAGCUCCACAAGAUGGACGCCCCGCGCUGAGCGAGCAUUUUACAGAGUGACGCGUCUGGGCCCCGGAUGGGCGGGAGUCGAGGGCCGCGUGAGCGGGCGGGGUCUAGAGGGGCGAAGUCCAGCGGGGACUGGGCUGACAGGAAGAACAGACGGUCACACCUGGUUUGAUUUACUCGAAGAUUUUAAAAACAGGUUAAUAAUGUCAUUUACUUUGUGACUGUAUUUCCGUUCUAGGUUCCCUGCCGGUUCCUGAGUUCGAGGAGGAGGCUGUUUCCCCGGGAGGAAGGAGCCGGAGGAGGAGUGACGUCUUGCUGAUGCCAGGCGGCCAGCGUGCCAUGACCCUGAGUCCGGAGCAGUGUAGCGGUGAGUGGGGGUUGUGACACUAAUGCCCCAGGCUUGGUGUGGGUGCUUUGUUUAGGAGACCCACGGAUUGGUAAAAACGUGUUGAGUAUAAUCCUGGAAGCCAGUUGUGGGGAUCUCGUGUGACGUAUGUGCCUUGAUGGGUACCUGAUCCAUGACAGCUGUGCUCACUGGGGCAAGUUAUUCUGUAGACAGAUUUGGGGAUAUUCGAGAACCUUUUUCUUGCUUUUCCAUGAUGCAUGUAAGUUUAUUUUAUUAUUAUCAGUUGAAAAGUUAAAAAUCAACACACUUGCCAAUCCCUAAUCAGUGGUGGACAACAGUGUCAGGCGUCCAGGGACUGCCCAAAUAGGGGCCGCCUGUGGUCUGGCUGAAGUGGUCCUCUGGAUGGACUCAGGUUACAUGAAUAACUUAUUUUUGACUCAUGAAUUUUUAUUGUAUUAAUUUGAAAAAAAUCAUAACAAAGGCUACACAGUUACAUAAAUGAUAAAAAUGAAGAGAGGGAAGCAUUGUCCAGUUAUAAAAGUAUCAGAUGAGGCAAGAAAUACUCUUACUAUGGCUUUGAAAUACUAAUGUCCAUUAAGAGAGGAAAGGAUCAGGUAGGUCUGUCUUUAGCUGGCUGUCGUGUAGACAGGGGAGGAGCGGCUGUGUCCCUGCCGUGGGCCAGUUGUGAGUUCCAUGUUUAUCUUUAUUUUGGAGCUGAGACAACAGUUAUUACCACUAAUUAGUAGAUAUUUAUUUAUUUAUUGUAAAGAUUUAUUUUAUUAUGCAUAUUAGAACUGGGGUACAGGCCAGAGGUGGGGGUUGAGAGGAUUCACCAGAGACAGAGUGGGGAACAGAACAGGUGGACUGACUGAAAUACACUGCUGAGGGGAGCAGCGGGCAAGUCAGGAGAGGUCUGCUGCACUCUGGGUAGCUCCUUGGCUGGCCAGGCAUUGAUCUUGUGCUGCAGAGGCUGUGGACAGCUGCAUAGGCUGUGUCUUAACCCCUUUGCGCCACCAGGGAGUCCCUAAUAAAUAUUUAAAUGAAUAAGAAAAUGGAAGGUGGAAUGCCGUCAUCAAUGGGGAGAUGUCUCAGUCUUUAGCACCUGCUCUGCUGUGCUCCUCAGGGUGUGUGCUGUGCUCCAUAGGUGGUCGCUGUGCUCAUCAGGUGGGCACUUGCUGCUGUGGAAGGCCCCGUGGUGGCCCGUGAUCAUAGCUUUGUGGUUUGCCUCGACGUGUAUGGCCACCAUGAGUGGCAGGUAGGUGUCAGGUGGUUGGUUUACUGGAAUUCACUGAGGAAGAGCCUGUGAAACACAAUCAGGAGCCACCCACAGCCUGAUAACGAGGGUGGUGACAUUGACGCUGAGGUCAGAUAGAGACAGAGCCAGUCUCUGGGAAGUAAUUCUAUAAACAGAGGUCAAGCAUUCUCGAGAAACUGCUUGGAUUUUUGUAAUUCAUGUGAGUUCAUUUUGUUAUUUGCAAAUUAUUAAAUUAAUCUAAACAAAUAAGAAAUGAGGGAAAAGCAUGGGCUGGUGAUGGUGGCUGGUUCACACAUGCCUCCCACUGGCGGACACUCUUGUACACCUGGACGCUGAGUCCAGUGCUGCCAGGGCCUGGGACAUUCUGCCUGUCUACAGUGUUGUAGACAUCUGUCAGGCAUGUACCAAGAUCUUUUUCUUGGACUGGUGGCAUGGAUUUUUAAAAAUAUUAUUAUAAAGUGAUACUAUUGGAUAAAGAUGGAGAAUGAAGCAUUAUUUAUUGUUUAAAAAUAUGUCAUCAAUAAAAUUAAUAUUAAAAUAACCUGGAAUGAAUAACAAGUGGACUGAUUGGAUGAUAUGCAUUGACUAAGGAUACUAGAGUGAUAAAUAAUAAUCAGUUAUUGACAAACUGGAUGUUUGUUUCAUAAAGUGGAAAGGAAAUAUUACUAUCAAUGAGCAAAUACCUGAAUGACCUUAUCAUGGUGGAAACUGCAGAUUAAUGGAGAGAAUGUCUCUAUCUUUUUAUCAUUUCCUAUGGUUUUUGUUCCUUCAAAAUAAAGGCUGGAGCGGACUCUAGCUUCUGCCCUAAGAAGGAUGUCUGUUUGUCUGUGUGGGGAAGACCAGGUGAGUAAAUGGUCAAGAUCUUGUCUUGUUUGGGUAAUUUAAGUUUACACAUGCUGUUAUAAAAUUAAACUAAUAAGAAAUUAACCAUUGCCCAAUAAUAAAUAUGAUUAACAGUAUAAGACACGAGAUCUCUUAUCAGAAGAGAUGCAGUGAAUUGGGACGUGAUUGUGUAGAUGGGUGGCAGGGUUAUUCAACUCGUUCUUGGGUAUUUCUUGGGAAUCAUAUAUUUAUCUCAUUGUUAUCAAAGAAUUAAUGAUUUAGGGCCUCCCUGGUGGCGCAGAGGUUAAGUCUCAGCACUAUGAAGCUAUCCGCAGCCACUGCGGUCUGAGUUCGAUCCCCGGCCAGGGACCUGACCCACAGGGCAAAGCAGACCUCUCCUGUCUCCCUGCUGUUCCCCUCAGCAGUGUAUUUCAGUGGUUCUGCCUGCUCUGCUCCCCACUCUGUCUCUGGUGAGUCCUCUCACCCCCUGCACCUCUGGCCUGCACCCCAGCUCUUGUAUGCAUAAAUAAAUAAAUCUUAAAAAAAGAAUUAAUGAUUUAAUUGAUAUAAAUGUAGACAUGUGGGCCAGUGAUUGAGUGCUGACGUAUGCAUCAGCAAUGGUGACAAUCCAUGUGUGAGAUUGAGAAUCAAAACAAAAACUAACCCCUCCUUUGGAAAUGAGCUUUGAGAUAGAUUUCAGGGUUAUAGAAAGAUCCUGCUCUUAUUUUAGAGUCAUGUACUUGAAUUUAUUAUUAGUGGAUCGAUGACAGAACAGUUAGAGAAAGAGAAGUAAAGAGGAAUCAUAGCAUUGCCAAGCCAUGACCUACGAGGCUAGGCAAGAGAGGUUGAUAAUAAGAUCUGAAACCAUGAUGCCCAUUAAGAAACUAAAUGCAUCCAGGGUGUCACCUCUUCAGUUAAGGAUCAUGUAGACACAAGCAAUUAAGAGUCAGUGUUAUUAUUCUGUGUCAGUUCCAAGUUUGAGGUGGUUUUCUUUGUUAAUGGAAAUUUAUAAGUCAUGAAGGAUUAGUAAGUACCAAAGAAACUCAGUGAGUGAAAUGUGUAAGGAAGGUUCCAGUGGGAAUUAGGUUUCAUUAUUAUUUUUUUUUUCACCUGCUCUGCUUGGUCCAGCUGGAAUGGAUGCACCCCAGGUGGUUUCCACUCCGUCCAUUGCCAAUUGAUGUUGCUCUGUGCUAGGAACAUGGAGAUCAUGAUGGACCCCCUCAGGAUGGACACCCUCAGGUUGACCUGAGUGUCUUCCGUGGUCCUAAUCCCUGUGGUUGUAUCCAUGGAGACCAUGUGAGUACUAGUCAUAUUUCUUGUCUUGGAUUGAGUGUUUUUUUACUUUCAAUCCAUUAACUGUAUUAUUAAAAAUUACUAAAAAUAAUCAAGGGAGCCCCAACAUGCCAGUAUCCAAUAUCAUUGAUGUGAAGCAAUGUGAUGUUUUAGUCCCUAUGUGACUAACUGAGUUCCAUUCGUGAGUUUGCUCAGUAGAAAAACUUGCAUGGAUGGAUGCCAGAGAUAUUGGAGGAUGUUAUUUAGGAGUUUUUGUCAUGCUUAUUUCUGUGCUAGUGAAUUAACCAGUAUACACCUGUAGAUGACAAAAGGAAAAGACUCACUCCAGGACCAGAGGUGAUGGCGGAUGGCGUGUGAGUCCCAUGUGGUGAAUGCCAUGGGCUGAAACGCUGAGGCCGACACAAGUGGCAUCUAGACUGUUCCUCCUGUAAGUCAGAUGUCAGGAAUCUGCAAGGAUCCUCUUCUUGAUCUGAGUGCUCAUGAGUGUUAAAUCUUCUUUAGAAAAGCAUGAGGGGUGGAAUUAAUUAAAAUUUAUAAAUAUGAAUAUAAAAUAUAGAUUACAUGUAAUUAUAUAGAUAUGUGUGUAAGAUUAGUAUUAUAUAUUAUAUGUUAAGAUAAUAGUGUUAUAUAUUAUAUAUGUAGAUUUAUAUAUAAUUAAAAUGUAUGAAUUAAAUUGGUAUGUGUAAAUAUAUAACAUACAUUGCAUGUUAUUACAAUUAUAAAAGCAUUGUAAGAAAAAUGAAUUGUCAUAGAAAUUGAAAGGGUUAAUAAAUGUACAAAUAGACUAUAUUUUUGACUAAGAGUAACAAAAGCAGUAAUAGUUAUAUUUCUUAGUGAGUUGCAAGUUUGAAGUUUCCGUUAUUAAGAGAAAAAUAAACAUUACACAGACCAGCAGGCCUCUAUGUGAUGGUGGGAUCGUGAGAGAUUGAGAGAAACACUGAAAUCUCUGUCUCCAAAAAGUGCCAAUUUAGCCAGAAGUUAGCCACGUCCCAGGUAAUAAGUGUGAUAGGAAUUUAUGCUGGUUGGUGGAGAAUGUGCUGACUUCUCACCAAUUCAUGAAAAGAUCGUGUCUGUGUGGGAAGUAAAUGGUUUUAUAGACAGUUGUUAGGGCUGGUUAGGGACCCUGUUCUUUGUUUCUGUGAAUCAUAUAUUGUCAUUAGUGAGUUCAUGGCUAGCUGGCAAGAUACAGAAAGGGAUAACCCAAAAAAGGCCCAAGCACGGGCCGCGGCUCACACUGUUGUCAGUGAAUCGGGGGUGGUGAGUGAGAUGAGGCCUGCGGAAAACACAAAACAUAGCUGAUGUUUUUAUUGGGAAUGACCCUAUAAAUGAAUGCUAGGCACAUAGAUCAUAUUCUAAUCUGAAGUUCAUAGGUUUAGAUUUUUUAUUAUUAGUGGAUAUAUGAUAGAACCAUUAAAUAAAUAUUGAAAGACAUAUUAAGAAGAGUAGGGUGACUCAUUCUCCAAAUUUGAACAUAGAUGGUGAGGAAAGAGAUAUCAUUUAUAAAAAUAGAAAACACUGAGGUUCAUUGAGAAAUGAAUGGGUUGAGGGUGUUAUCUCUGAUGAAGGAUUAUUGGCGCAGAGAAGUUUUGUUGUUCGGAGUCAGUUUCUUUUGUAAGGGGAAAAAUGUACAUUUGAUGAAAAAAUUAUCAACUACUUAAAAGAGGAAUAAAAUGUGGGCUGUGAGGAUCAAAGGGGAAAAUGUCUUAUUUUUGCUUUUUUCCGUCCUCUGCUCUGCUUUGUACUCCCAAUAUGGAUGCAUUGGAAUUGAUUAAGCGCCUUCCAUGGUCUGCACUGGUUUCUUCUAUCUGCUAGCAGCACGGAGGCCGUGUGAGUACUAGUCAAAGCAAUGGCUUAAUUUGGGUGUUUGACAUAAGAGCAUUAUUCAAUUUAAGUUUAUUAUGAAAGAGUGUUUAACAUAAUCAGAUUAUACUAAAUUUAGCCCAGUGACUAAUAUGGGAUUAGUAGGAAGCAUUGCACUGAUUCUUACAUAGAUGAAGAUAACUGAGGAGCAUGAUUCUAGAUACUAAUAAUUAGGGCCAUCAGGUCUAUUCUUGGAUUUUGUGAAUCAUAAGCUUUUAAGAUUAUUUUUAUUAAAUUGCAGAAUUAAUCAAUAGUGACAAUAAUUAAUCAAUAAUAACAAAUGAAUGAUGACAGAAUCGCAUCCCUGGACCAGUGCUGGUCACUGCUGGCAUGGGGGUCACCGAUGACGAACAAACGGACGUGUCUGAACUGACUUGGGCAGGAUCCCCGGCUCAGCUUUGUCACCUCCACUUUACAGGAGCAGGGAAGACCGACAACAAAUCACUGCACCUGAUUUCAGGGCUCCCUCUAGAAAUGCAUCAGCUCUGAGUGUUGCUUCUCCGUUACAGCUGCCUGGAGACCAGUAACUGCAGCUUGAGGUGAUGUCCGCCUGCCUGGGACCAAGGAGCAUCGUGUGCAUUGUUCCAGUGAAGACACCAAGUGGCCCUCAGCACAGACAGCGUGAGCCGACACUGCACACUUUGUGGUGAGGACGUCUGUGAGUGCAUCUGAGCUUGUAGCACAGAGACCAAUAGUGAUCACCUCAAGCUGAUGGAAUGUUCCUCCUUGGUCAUGACCUUGACAGUUGCCUCUGUGUAUUAGGACCAUGGAAACUCAUAAUGUGUGCUCUGGGUGAUUUUGACUUUUGUGGUCACCAUGAUUGUCAUGCUGGCUGUGUCUGAAUGAGAUGAAGAAUGGACAGAUUUGAGCUCAUUUCGUCCUAUUCUACGAAGGUGUGCUCUGCAAUCGCAUCUUUGUUAGAAGCACUAUUGCCAUAAUGGACUCGGUGGAGCUGACACAAGCUAUUCCCGUGGGCAUGAGCUCCAUGAUGGUCUCUACAUAAUAGGAGGAUGAGGAUAAAUAAGGGUCAUGUUCAAGCUGGUGUAAGCGUUCCUCCGUGGCCACAAGGCCUGCCUGCGGGUCUGAGGGUCAGGAACAAGGAGAGGAUAGCCAGCACCGUCCUCCCCACUGAAGGAGUCGCCUUGAUCCCAAGCCCUGGGCUGGCCUCUCACUUUCAGGAGCCUGGAGACAAAUGUGAGUAAUAAGCCCAGUUCUUGACUUGCUUCUGGUGUUGUGUUUAAGGGCAUCAGCACAUUAACAAAGAGCAGGAGCUAUGAACACUGAUGGUCAAGUGAGUCCUGGAGAGAAAUAUGGGAUCAGUAGGAGGCGAUACACUGGCUCAGCCUCAUGUCCACAGUGGGCUGGUUAACCACAGACGCAGAUAGAGGCCUGUGGGUCCAUGUCAGGGGUCACGAGGCCUUUGGGGUUUGUGACUGGUGGGAUUGGAGGUUUCAGGUUAGUGCGCUGGUGACUGAAGCAAUAAGCAAGAAGAAGUGGUGCAGAGAAGGUGGUCUUUCUGGACCGAUGAUGACAACUGCCGGCGUAUGAGUCGUGGAUCAUGAAUGGCCUGUGUCUGGAACUCUGAGGUCCGAGAGACUAGAACAUGGACACUGCAGCGACUGUAACAUCUCCCAGGAGAGCAGCCCUUGCAUCCCCUGCGUGUCGUAGGAGCUUGGCCUCCCCGUGAGUAACAGUCAGUGGUCUUGACUUGGUUUACAUAGCUUGUUUAAAGACAUUCAUUGUAUUCUCAGAACUUGGAGUUGCCAAUAUUGUCAGAUUGACAUGAGCCAUUUUGUUUGUUAAUCCACAAAUAUAACACUGAGGAUUGUUAAUGGAAGAUAUUACAGUGGAUAGCUUAAUGUUAGGGAUACUGAGGAUUUUUAAUUUAUGUAUUUUAUUAACACAUAAUGAAUAGCAAAGGAUACAAGUAUAAAAUAAAAGUGUGUCAAUAAUGAAUGCCCAUCACUGUUGCUGGCACAUGACAGACUUUACACACUUGUUUCUUUAAGGUCCAGCCCCAAACUUGUCCAGUUCCCUCCCCAGGUGUAAAGGCAUCCACCGGACAGGUCUUGUUUUUGAUCCUUGUUCACAAAUCUCAACAAUUUAUAGAAAUAUUUAUAUCAUAAUCAAUAAUUAUAUAAGUCAGUAAGGUGAAGGGAGUGGUGUAUUGUUCUUGAUAAAUACGUUGGAAGGUAAAAAUAAAUGUUCAGACAUAUUUCUAUUGGAUUAUAAAUAGACUUGGGUAUGAUGUCUUUGACUAAGUGAUUUUAUGAAAUGUCAUAGUCAGUUAUUACCUGACUCAGUUGUAUGUUUGUAGCUUAUUUUUGAUAUGAAAAUAAAUAUAUUAGCACAAAAUUCAGAACCAAAAUGACUAUGUAAAUGAAUGUUGGGUCUGCAGAAAGAACCACUCCACCAUUAUCCCCUUGCUUGGGAUUCUGCAGAAUGGAGGCUCAGCUGAUUUCACUCUCUAUUGUGAUCAAGAUUUUCAAGUUCCAUCCAUGUUAAGAACAAGACUAAAGGUUUACAGUCUCAGCACUGUCAAGCUAUCGCCAGCCCCUGGGACAUGAGUUCGAUCUCUGGUCAGGGAGCUGACCCACAUGGCUCAACAGACCUCUCCUGUCUCCCUACUGCUCUCCUUAGCAGUGCAUUUCGGUGGAUCCACCUUUUCUGCUUCCCACUCUGUCUCUGCUCUGCUCUGUCUGCCUCAGGAUGGAUGCAUCUGAGCUGAUUUAAGGUCUUCCAUGGUCACGAGGCCUGUGCUUGACACAGCAGGAGCUCUGGGAUCAGUGAAGAAGUGACGCAGAGCAGGGACCAUAUUGGAUCGAUGAUGAGCCCCGGUGGCGUACAAGUUGGAUUCGAUGACUACAUGUGAAAUCUGAGGUCCAGCACAGGAGACCCCGCCCAUCCCCAUUCUCUGUGGGACUCACCCACACAGACGUCAGGAAUAUAAAAGGAUGUUGUUUAUGAUCAGUCUUCACACGUGGUCGUUAUAUUAUUAUGAUUGGAUGAAUAAGUAUCUAUAAUUAAAUAUAUAAACAAAAUAAAGAUGAAUGGUGUGAAGCUUUGUCCAAUUAUAAAAAUAUAUAAUGAGGCAAGAUAGACUAUUAAUGCAAUAUCAGAAAAUUGACAUUUAAUUAGAAAUAAAUGGUAACUGACUGUUACUCCUAUGACUAAGGAUAAUAUGGACAUAGACACUGUUUGGAUUCUAGAUUCGUGACAAACAUAAAAUUGUUUGCUUUCUUAGGAGAAGAUAGAUUUAUACCCAAUUAGUGAUCACCCAAAAAACUAGUUACAUGAAGGGAAAAGCAAGACUCCUUAGAGAGAGUCUCAUCGCGUGUGACCACCUGCUCUGCUUUCUACUCCGCAGAGCCAGCACUGUCCUCCCCACUGAAGGAGUCACCUUGAUCCCAAGCCCUGGGCUGGCCUCUCUCUUUCAGGAGCCUGGAGACAAAUGUGAGUAAUAAGCCCAGUUCUUGACUUGCUUCUGGUGUUGUGUUUAAGGGCAUCAGCACAUUAACAAAGAGCAGGAGCUAUGAACACUGAUGGUCAAGUGAGUCCUGGAGAGAAAUAUGGGAUCAGUAGGAGGCGAUACACUGGCUCAGCCUCAUGUCCACAGUGGGCUGGUUAACCACAGACGCAGAUAGAGGCCUGUGGGUCCAUGUCAGGGGUCACGAGGCCUUUGGGGUUUGUGACUGGUGGGGUUGGAGGUUUCAGGUUAGUGCGCUGGUGACUGAAGCAAUAAGCAAGAAGAAGUGGUGCAGAGAAGGUGGUCUUUCUGGACCGAUGAUGACAACUGCCGGCGUAUGAGUCGAGGAUCAUGAAUGGCCUGUGUCUGGAACUCUGAGGUCCGAGAGACUAGAACAUGGACACUGCUGUGACUGUAACAUCUCCCAGGAGAGCAGCCCUUGCGGCCCCUGCGUGUCCCCUGCUUGGCCUCCCCGUGAGUAACAGUCAGUGGUCUCGUCUUCGUUGAGUGGUUUGUUCAAGGACAUUCACUGUGUAAUUGAAAUACCAAAUAUAAUAUAAUCAAGGAAGGGGAAAUAUGCCAAUAGUAUUAAAUAUGAUAUGAAGCACAUGUUGAUUAAUCCAUAAAUGUAACACUGAGCACAAUUAUUGAAAAAUGAGAUUUAUUUUAUGUGGAAAUUAUUUUACGGAUGCAUGUUAGGAGUGAUGAAUGAUCUGGUUCUUAUUUAAACAAUGAAUGUGCAUUUAUUGUUAUUAAUUGUUAUGAGAGUAAAAGGAAAGAGGGCUGAUUAGGAAUAUGUGUGAUGGUGACUUCUGGUGUCCGCGCUACUUGCAGUGAACUGUAUGCUGGACUCUGAGCCAACACAGGUGUGCCGUCCGGCCCUGUGUGGUAGGACCCUCUAGAGAGAGGUCAGCACGACCCUUAGAAUGUUUCUUGGCCUUUGUGUUCAUCAAUUUAAAUUAUAUUUAUAAAGUACCAAGGACAGACUACACAAGAAAUGCAUAGACGAAUGAAGAUGAAGCUGGUGGAUGCUAUUAUUUGAUAAAUGUGUAGCUUGGUGAGCAAAUAUCUUAUACAUUAAGGUGGUUAAUAGAUGGACCAGGAUUGUCACAUCGUUUAAUACGUUGAUAGAGAUAAUGAAAUAUAACCGUUGAUCAUUUCCACAGCUGCUGUUUAUUAAAAUAAAAGUAAAUAUUAUCACGACUAAUGAUGUCUAGUGACUGGAAAUGAGCGGUGGGGCUGUAAAUCAGGGCAAAGUAUUGUCCUUUCACCAGCACCUCUGCCUGGCAUUCUGCGGCCUGCAAUCCGGCUUAUGGCGCCAGAGGCAAGGCUGUUACGUUCCUCUCUGUUUUUCAAGAGACACCAGGUGAGUCGCACGCAGUCAAAGGCCUGGUCUUUGUUUGGGCUAUGUAAGGAUCAAAUCAAUAUAAUCAAGUGUUUGACUUAAACAGAACCAUACCAAUCAUAUAUAAACAUCAAGUAUGUGUAAUCAUCAAUUAUUAUAAAUGUAAGAAUAUAAAUAUUUUCAGUAUACCAAACUCCAGAAAUUGUAUCAUCAGUUGUUAUAAGCAUAAUGCUGACCUGAUACUGAUUCAUUGAUGCUGUGUUUCAUUCAUACUGAUUAUUGAAAGUCAUCUGUUCUCUAUUGGUGGUGAUUCCCCAGCUAGAAGUUAGGGAUAUUCACAUAUCCUGUUCUUCAGUUUAUGUGACUCAUGUAUUUAUUAUUAUCAUGGAAUGAAUUAUUUAAUAGACAAAGAUGCAGAUCAAAUGAAGACAAAGUGGUUUUCCAGUGAGCCGAUGUGUCACUCGGUGGGACGCACGGCCCCGUGCUGCUGGGGAUUCCCUCUCUGUGUUUGAUCCUGCAGACAGAUGUUGGGAAUGUACACAAAUCAUGUCCUUAUUUUGGGUUAAUAGAUUGACUUUAAUUGCUAUUAAUGGAUUAGUGAUAGAAACACUGUAGAAAUAUAAAUAGUAGAUGAAGAAUAAAGGUUGAGCCUGUGCAACUGUGCACAUGUAGUGAGGCAAGAAAUAUUAGUAAAUAUUGAAAACACUAAAGCUCAUUAAGAAAAACCUGAUUCAGGGUCUUAUCUGUUUAAAGAACACAGAGAUAUGGAUAGUUGUCAGUGUUACUGUUUGGGGAUCUCUCAAGUUUGAGGAUGUUCUUUUGUGAAGGAAAAAUGGUAUCUACAUUACCAAAAAUAUUUAGAUACCCAAAUGAUUCAGUAAAUGUAAUGUGAAAAUGAAGUACUAAUGGAUUUUUUUUUUUUUAAUUUUUAACUGUGCAUUGGUCCUCAUAAGGGCCACAUUGAACGGAUUCAAGAAUUUAGUCAUGGUGAUGGGCCCCAUGAUCGCAUCUCUGUGCCAGAAGCUCAGAGAUCCAGAGUGGACUCAGUGGGGCUGACCCAGGCCUCCCCUGUGGGCACGAGCUCUGUGGUGGUUUCUACGUUCAAUAGAAAGAUGAAGAUAAAUGAAAAACAUGUUCACACCAUGUCAGAUGAUUGGCUCCGCCCUGGCCCCAUGAUUGGUGGGUGGCAGCCAUCAGUGGGAGUGUCACCUCCUGUUACCCGCUCUGCUCUGCCCUCUCCAGCAGCGGCUCCCAGGCCCGUUCUUCUCCUGAACCAUGACUCAGCUGACCAUUCUUUGUGGGCUCUGGGGACAAAUGAUGGACACCUGCGACCUGAUUGUCCCUGGGUGGCCAGCAUGGUCACCUCUCUGAGAACCUCUCUGUGUUAGGAGCCCCGAAGCCAGUCCUGGGCGUGUGGAGCUGCUGUGGCAUCCUCUGUGGCCACGGACCCUGCCUUUGCAUCGAUGCUUCAUGAGUGUGGAGAGCAGUAUGCUGGAGUCGAUUGUAGCAUCUGCCAUGGUCAGGAAAUCCUGGGGCCUCUGUGUGGAGGACACGAGGAAUGUAUGCAGAGGAGCUGGUCCCUCUGGUCUGCAUCACCUCCCCGAACCCCACCCCAUCUUGGCACCCCUAGUCUUGGCGCCCCUGGUCUCGAGUGCUGUGUCUGCUGGAUGGGGUCAUAAUGGAUGACUUCAAACUGAUUUAAGCCUCCUCCCUGGCAGGGCCUCCUGGCCACAUCUGUUGUUGGAUCACAAAGACCUGUAAUGAGCACACCUGAACUGGCUUCAGGGUUUUCCCAUGGUCAAGAACUCAUGGUCAUUUCCAUUUGCUGGGAUCACGGGAACCACAAUGGACACGCGGGAACUGACUGACACGCUCUUUUGUGAUUGAGAGCCUUAAGGUACAUCUCUGCUUUAUCAACAUGGAGGCCAACAAUGGACACACUGAAACUGACAAUAAUUCCAAAGUGAUCAAGAUCUUUGUAGGCCAUUGGUGACGCGUCUUGGCUAAUUCGGUCGUCCUGCCAUGAAGACUUUUGCCUCAUUCCUCUGGGCAAGGAAUUGACUAUAAUGACUGCACCUUGGCUCUCCCAGUAACUUCAUGAUGAAGCGCCUCACUGUUAACCUGUGUCCCUGGGGGAGCAGAGAUCACGCUGAGGGAGCAGACCACACCCAGCCUCCGCGGAUAAACACCCAGCGGAGCGGCCGCCUGCGCUAUCAAGGCCUCUGUUUACAUGUCAUCACUGAGCUGCUGUUCCCAGGGGGCCAGAACUGGGUCAAAUUCUCUUUUUCCCCAGCCCCGGCCCAGCCCUGAGCUGGGCAGCACUGGCACAUCACUGCAGAGUGAAUGAACAAGUGGCUAAAAAUACUUGGUGCUUUUGUGGAAAGGCCUGGCCUUCUCAGAAUGGCCUGGAUGCUGUUCUGUGGGGGUGCGGUGUGUCAGUGGCCGUGGCAUCCUCCUAUGCAAGGCCACUUCCUCCCUGGAGUCCAGCUUCCUGUAUCCAGUGCCAGAGGAGAGACAGGAUACUGGCAGUUCUCACUGCCCUGGACAUUGGCCCAUCCUUGGGCAAUGUUGGCUUGGCCUGGUAGGUUGGGAGCCCUGGGUCUUCCCGAAAACUGCCCUCGCCUCUGCCAAGACAGUGGAGCCAAAAUAGCCAGGGCUGUUGUCGUGCCUGCAGCGAGCCCGGCUGCCCGCCUUCCAAGCAGAGCGGCGUCCUCCGGUUCUCACUGCGGGCCCACGCCGGGUGUGCGGCACCUCUGGGCCUGCAGCCUCAGCUUCAUCCGGUAGGUGAGGCUGUGGUGAGAGCUGCAGGGCACUCCCGACCCGACGCUGCCAUGUCCACGUGCGGCACCUGGGCGGGGCUGGAGGCUGUUACUCUUGGAUUUUCUCCAUCGCCACCCAAAGUGGCUAUGAUCAUCGGAUGUGACACCAGAUUCCUCCGUCUCAGAAGAAUGAGGAGUUCAGCUAAGUCUUGGGAAGAAGACCAGUUUGGAUGGACGGCCCAUCCAGAUCGAGCCCCUUCCAGGCAGCGUAAUGGGUCCUUCCGCCAGGACAGUCAACAAGAAAGCACUGGGAUGAACCAGGAAAGAUGCCCGUUUGUACCCCGGAGAAGUCACCAGAACCUUCCAGUUUCACGCCCACGUCUGAAAAAGGGAAGGCAAUUUCACUCAUUUGUUUAGUAAAAAUCUCAGGAUGUGAUCUGAGCUACACGCCGACCUGCGCCUCAUCGCGCCCUGCCUCUGCCGCGGCCCCUGCUGGGCGGGCUCAGACGGCACGUGUGCUCCCGCCCUUCUCGCCCCAGCAAGUCCCCUCACAUUCCACCAUGCAUCUGCCUUGGGCCCCCACCAAAUCUUCCCACUGCCGCCCCCACCUGCCUUCCUGACUCCCUCGUCAAGGGUGACCUUUCCAUCUUCCUUCCACCUGAGCCUUGAGCUGGAGCCAGGGCUGCCCACUUAGCUUCAGUUUCCCCAACUGUGAACACGGAGACAGGCUAAUGACACAAACCCCAUGGUCACUGUGCGUGAUGGCUCCCUUGGGGGAUGGAAGAACUCUCUGACUGACCACCCCCGCCCUGCCCCCUGCCCGAGCCUCACUGGGGCCAGUUGUUGUAUUUUCUCGCCCUGGAUCUGUUGCUUUCACCAGCACGCGUAUUUUCAACAUGAUCAAAUAAGAGUUGGCGGGAGCCGGCCCACAGAUGUCCCUGGUACUGCAGGACCUGUGACCCCAGUGGAGGGGCGGAGGCAGGCCUGGGCGUGUGUGGCCCGUGGGGCCCGGGCUCCACUGGGAUCCUGGCCUCUUGGUUUGUGGGCCCUCCUGGGGGUUCUCUUGGGAACCCGGCCAGAGCUCAGACUUCUUGAAAGGGCACUUAUCCAACUCCUCCCUCUUGGGUCUUCCCUGCGACUCUGGCCCACUGUCUCGUUCAUGCCUGGCCUCUCUCUCAGUGCCCUUUGCAUGGGCACCUGAAUCCCAUGCCCUGCAGGGAGCCUUCCCAAUUCCUAGCGCACCCUGGGCCCUACUCCUGGUUUGGGCUGUUCAUCUCACUGGUGGAUACUCCUCAGGCAAGGGGGCACUGUACUGGCGGUGUGGGGAGACAGGGAGGUGGUCCCCAAAGGCAUUAGCAUCCUCUUGGGAGUUACAAAGAAUAGGAGAUCACAGGCCCUGGGACCCCGGCUCCAAGUCCACUCUGCAGAUCUCCUGCUCCUCCCAGGGUUUGGGGCACUAGAAAUGCCCGGGCAGGGGCUGGGAGAGAGUGACCCCUCAGACAGAGGGUCCCCCCCACCGACCUCAGGGAGCACAGCCUCUCUGCCCCACCUUCCAUCUCCAGCUGGCCGAGUCGUUGGGGUCACCAUAUUUUCCACCUCACUGAAGCCCCCAUGCUGCAGGUGCACCUCAUCAUCCCUCUGACAGAGGGAAACCAAGGCCCAGCUGAACCAAGAGAGCCAGCUCGGCCUGUACCUUGGCCUCCAGGGGACAGGGCCAGGCAGUGAGGCAGAUGCCACCUGCCUGGCUGUUUGCUGGCUCCUUCCCCACGAUGGGAGGGCGCCACGUUUUCUGCACGAGAGUUUCUUUGCAGUUUGCUCAUUAGGAUGAAAGAGCAGAAACUUUCCUGGCCAAGUCCUCCCAUUCCUCACCAUUCAGAAAAGCCCCCUAGGGAAGUGGCUGGAAAUCUCCCUUCUUGCCCUGAGUCGCCCCAAAUGGCAUGUUUAAAAAUACAAAGCACACAGGCCCAGAGUCCAGAGCCUCUCCGACAGGGCCCCUGGGAGACUCAGGGGGACAGGGCCAAGCCCCCCAGCCUGCCUGAGCUCUCUCCCCUAGAACUUUCCUCUGGUGCCCUUGGCCCCCAACCCCACUAGUGCGGUCUCAGGGAGCACCUCAUGGGGCAUCCCAUCCUCUGAGCCAGCCCCUUCCACAGUGAGGAGAGCCACUGAGCCUGCCCCAGCACACGGGAUGGCCAGUCCUUCAGGAGCCAGGGGUGAGAGGGGGGAUGCAGUGCCCUGGUCCAGCCCAACCCACUCAGCCGGGGGCCCUGGGCUGUGGGAAGGUGCCCCCAGCACAGGCUCAGCGUCCAGUCCUGGGCUGCAAUUACAGAGGGUUGAUGGACAGCACGAGAUCCCUGAAAGGCAAAUAACGAUAAUCACGGUCAUUCCUGGACCCAACGCUGGGGCCAUUGAGCCAAGACUGUAAUCAGCCCCACUCUUUACACAGCUGGGCCUCAGGCAGCAGUGACAGUCGCAAGGAUCAGCGGGUUGAAUUGAGUCCAAACCCAUGCCCCACCCUACCCAUGUCCUUAUCUUGACAGCCACAGCAGCACACGUCACACACGGACACACAUGCUCGCACGCUCCUUACCUUCCAGGUGGCCUGACCUGCCCCAAAAGGCAGGGAGGCCCUCGGGUCUUCUCCCCAGGUGGGCCUCGCCAUGCCCCGCCCAGGUUGACUUCCUCAUGGUUGCCCACUUCAUGCCUCCAGCCAGCUCUGUGGCUCUAGGUCGUGUCCCUGCACCCCAGCCCUGCCCGGGCCACUGUUGGCUGCCCCUUGCACGUGCCUGCCAAGCUUGCAGGGUGGGAUGCAAGCCGCCUCCCCCGGCUGUGGUCAGCAGUGCUCAACAGCUGGACUCCAUGGGUGACUUGCCCUCUGCUCUUGGCAGGUACCCCAAGCUGUGGUGGCGUGGCUGAGCCCGAGGCUCCGAGGACAUGCGGCUGGAGGAGCGCUGGCCUGGCUG